AAAUUGGAGGUGUAGGGAAGGGUAAUAAAUCUCACAUCUAUUACCCUUCCCUGCUCCUCCUGU
rnacentral:miRNA from 1 species